rnacentral:lncRNA from 1 species
CGCCUCUGAGGGGUGUGAGAGGGCUCACGCGUGCACACACACAUACACCUCCUUCUUCACUUUUCAGCAAGAGGAGGCUGGAUAUGCUCCACUCCCUCCCCCGCAACCCCUAUCAGGGCUAAUAGAAAGAAGACUGGCAUUAAAAAGAGAGGCUGUGGUCAAAUUCUGAAAAUGGGACAAAACUCCAAAGGGCAUCAAGAUAUGGCAGAUGUAGAUUCUGGAAUCCUUCUUGGAAUUUGCACGUGCUGGAGAGAAAUUUGGCACGAAACAGAAAAUAGUCCACCAUCAACUUCAGCCUCCUGUCUGUUUCCAGCCAAACCUGGCUGCUUCAUGGUCAGCAGCAGUGCUGUUCUCCCACCACAGCUCAGUUCUGCUCAACGACUAUUUUUAGGGUAGCCAUUCAACAAACUCAAGGUUGUCUCUGCCCUCUGGAUGCUCACAAUCUAGUGAGGAGACAGACUUGGCAACAACUCAUCUUACUGCAGGCUGGCGGCUGCAGUAGCUGAGCAGGAGCCCAGAGCUGGAGCUCGCCAAUGCUGCCAGUUAUCUAUUCCCUAGUGUCUGGGAGAAAGAAUGGUGGGCACAGUUCAUUAUCCGAAAGAAAACAGACCCACUAGUAGCUGGUCAUUAACACACACAGACUUCUGGCCUGGGAGGUGGGACUUACAUAUAUUCACUUUCUCCCAAAGGAUAACUUCUGGAGUCAGCCUGGAGCAGAUACUUGGAAGUCCAUUUUACACAAAGGGCCCUUCCCUUUUCCUUAUUUACCUUCAAUCCUUCCUCUGGGGCCCUACUUCUUCCUGCUGCUGCCCCUUGUGGGAAGGUGGAGGAGAUCACUCUUUCUAACUCCUUCCUGGGGGCCUCACAAUGAAUCAAGUCCUGUCUUCCUCAGUGUGGCAUCUACAAACCAACCAACCAACAAGCUGCUCUCUUGCUCAUAGAGACUGUCUCUCAGAGCACCAGGAUGAUGUGCUCUUAUGCUCAAAUAGCUCCUCUUUACUAGAGAUGAGGGCGGAGGAGGAACAUAAGGGUGAAGGGACUGUGGGGGACACAGAAGUCCUUCAUACCACACUCUCCUACGGUUGGAUCUCUUUGAGCCCUCAAAGUGGGAAUUCAGCUUCCUUCCAGCUUAAUGAGUUGGGAGACUGUGGGAAGGAAGGGGAGCACCCUGUGCUUUGUACACUCAGAAGCAUCUACCACAAGGAAGGUGUCUUCCCUGGGUUCAGGCAUUCAGUGGAAUCAGUCAAGAGCUGGGCAUUUUCUGGAAAUCGCUGGGAGCUGUCCUAUAUCCUGUGCUCCAGACCCUCAGUUCUCCCAGUGAUGAGGAGAAGUGUUGUUUCAGAAGAAAAGCAGAGGAAAGGCUUUCUGAAUAUCAAGACCAUGGGCUUUUCUUAAUACAAAGCCAAAGGCCAGAGAUGUGUCAGAAUACACAAGAACCAUGCUGUCCAAUACACUAGCCAAGUGUGGCCAUUCCAACUUAAGUUGAAAUUAGUUAAAGUGAAAUAAAACUAAAAAAUUCAGCUGCAUGGUCUGACCAGUCACAUUUCAAGUGCUCAAUAGCCUCAUGUGGCUGGUGGCUACCAUAUUAGACAGUGGAGAUAUUAGAGAACCUUUCCAUUAGCACUGAAAGUUCUAUUCGACAGUGUUUCCUUAGGAGAAAAAGGCAGGGAGUUUUGUCUGUUUUGUCCACUACUACUGCCCUAGGGCCUAGAUCUGUGUCUGGCACAAAGGAGAGGGAUCUGUAAAUUUUUGUUAAAUGAGUACUAGAGAAGUUAGAGCCAGUUUUCCAUCACGUCUAUCCCUUCACCCAACUGAUCUCAGCUAGAUAGAGUCUGCCCAGAUUGGGGAGGAAGAAAAGAAAGAGGAGAGAACUGGAGAGAGGAUUGUAGUCCUCCAUGGAUAAACCCCUGAGAAGAGCUCUGAGGCUCUGGCAGCCUCCCUGCAUUGUGCUCUGACUUAACUCUGUUGUGGGUUUAAGGGAGGGGAGCAAAGAAAAAACCCAAAUAGGUUGGUGAAUCCAAGAGCAAGAAGAGUCUCGUGCCUGGUCCCAAAGCAUGCAAUGGAUUGCACCAGAGUUUCUCCACAUCCCAGCUUGGGGCUGGAGCCAAAGAGCGGUCAACUGGGAUGUGCCCAGUGACUAUCACAGUGCUUCACACAUAAUAGGUGCUCAACAAUUCAAUGCUAAAUGUAUCAGUGAACGAACAAGUGACCCAACUGGAUGGAGUAAGGGCAGGAGAAGUGUCAAUGCAUAAACGGGCAAAGUAAGAAUGAAGACGUUUCUCUUCUGAAUCCAGAGUGGCUGUUUUGUACGUGUCUAGACUGUGCGUGCUGAAGAUGUUCCUUUUGGGUUCAGCUGAGUCUGAGAAACAAGAACACUCACACUUUGCAUCUUUCCAAUCCUGGAGAAGUUGCUAUAGAAAACAAUGCUUUGGAAAGAAUUGAAAAGUCCUGCAAUGAGCAGGUGUUUCUUGAGUACCUCCUGUGCGCUCAGCAUCGCUGUAGGGCCCUUGGAUAAGUGUACACUAGAGAAACACACCUAAUCAAUAAAGUAGUUUUGCAGACCAGAAACAAUUAGAAGAAGACACGAUACACUGUGGAGCUGUAAAAGAGCAACGUAGUCUGGCAAAGCCAAGGAAGGCUUCCCAGAGGGGAUGAGACCAGGACCGGGCCUGAAGGAUGGGUUGGAUUUGGAUAAGGAAAGAGAGGCUGUAGAGCAUUUCAGGGAAACCACACACAAAGGCCUGAAGGAGGAGCAGAUUGGAGGUGAUGUGUAGCAUAGUGGUGAUUAUUCAUUCCUGGAGUACCCUCUGUGUGCUCAGCCAUGACACUAAGCAAUGAAAAACAGACAACCUGUCCUCAAGGAGCUCGAGUCUGGGAGGUGGGGAAUGGAAGGACAGAUACUAAAACAAAUACAGGUGAUGUAUGUGUAUUAUUUCACAAGAAUGUAACCCAAAGCAAA